GAUGAACGCUGGCGGCGUGCCUAAUACAUGCAAGUCGAGCGAACGGACGAGAAGCUUGCUUCUCUGAUGUUAGCGGCGGACGGGUGAGUAACACGUGGAUAACCUACCUAUAAGACUGGGAUAACUUCGGGAAACCGGAGCUAAUACCGGAUAAUAUUUUGAACCGCAUGGUUCAAAAGUGAAAGACGGUCUUGCUGUCACUUAUAGAUGGAUCCGCGCUGCAUUAGCUAGUUGGUAAGGUAACGGCUUACCAAGGCAACGAUGCAUAGCCGACCUGAGAGGGUGAUCGGCCACACUGGAACUGAGACACGGUCCAGACUCCUACGGGAGGCAGCAGUAGGGAAUCUUCCGCAAUGGGCGAAAGCCUGACGGAGCAACGCCGCGUGAGUGAUGAAGGUCUUCGGAUCGUAAAACUCUGUUAUUAGGGAAGAACAUAUGUGUAAGUAACUGUGCACAUCUUGACGGUACCUAAUCAGAAAGCCACGGCUAACUACGUGCCAGCAGCCGCGGUAAUACGUAGGUGGCAAGCGUUAUCCGGAAUUAUUGGGCGUAAAGCGCGCGUAGGCGGUUUUUUAAGUCUGAUGUGAAAGCCCACGGCUCAACCGUGGAGGGUCAUUGGAAACUGGAAAACUUGAGUGCAGAAGAGGAAAGUGGAAUUCCAUGUGUAGCGGUGAAAUGCGCAGAGAUAUGGAGGAACACCAGUGGCGAAGGCGACUUUCUGGUCUGUAACUGACGCUGAUGUGCGAAAGCGUGGGGAUCAAACAGGAUUAGAUACCCUGGUAGUCCACGCCGUAAACGAUGAGUGCUAAGUGUUAGGGGGUUUCCGCCCCUUAGUGCUGCAGCUAACGCAUUAAGCACUCCGCCUGGGGAGUACGACCGCAAGGUUGAAACUCAAAGGAAUUGACGGGGACCCGCACAAGCGGUGGAGCAUGCGGUUUAAUUCGAAGCAACGCGAAGAACCUUACCAAAUCUUGACAUCCUUUGACAACUCUAGAGAUAGAGCCUUCCCCUUCGGGGGGGCAAAGUGACAGGUGGUGCAUGGUUGUCGUCAGCUCGUGUCGUGAGAUGUUGGGUUAAGUCCCGCAACGAGCGCAACCCUUAAGCUUAGUUGCCAUCAUUAAGUUGGGCACUCUAAGUUGACUGCCGGUGACAAACCGGAGGAAGGUGGGGAUGACGUCAAAUCAUCAUGCCCCUUAUGAUUUGGGCUACACACGUGCUACAAUGGACAAUACAAAGGGCAGCGAAACCGCGAGGUCAAGCAAAUCCCAUAAAGUUGUUCUCAGUUCGGAUUGUAGUCUGCAACUCGACUACAUGAAGCUGGAAUCGCUAGUAAUCGUAGAUCAGCAUGCUACGGUGAAUACGUUCCCGGGUCU
rnacentral:rRNA from 1 species